AUCGCCUGAAGAGGGGUUUGCGUCCGAUUAGGUAGUUGGUGAGGUAACGGCCCACCAAGCCGACGAUCGGUAGCCGGUCUGAGAGGAUGAACGGCCACAUUGGAACUGAGACACGGUCCAGACUCCUACGGGAGGCAGCAGUGGGGAAUCUUCCGCAAUGGGCGAAAGCCUGACGGAGCAACGCCGCGUGAGUGAAGACGGCCUUCGGGUUGUAAAACUCUGUGAUUCGGGACGAAAGAUAAGUAGACGAAUAAUCUGCAUAAGUGACGGUACCGAAAAAGCAAGCCACGGCUAACUACGUGCCAGCAGCCGCGGUAAAU
rnacentral:rRNA from 1 species